rnacentral:rRNA from 1 species
UAGGGAAUAUUGGACAAUGGGGGCAACCCUGAUCCAGCCAUGCCGCGUGAGUGAAGAAGGCCCUCGGGUUGUAAAGCUCUUUUGUCCGGAAAGAAAAGCUUCGGGUUAAUACCCCGGGGUUCUGACGGUACCGGAAGAAUAAGCACCGGCUAACUUCGUGCCAGCAGCCGCGGUAAUACGAAGGGUGCAAGCGUUACUCGGAAUUACUGGGCGUAAAGCGUGCGUAGGUGGUUGUUUAAGUCUGAUGUGAAAGCCCUGGGCGCAACCUGGGAAAGGGAUUUGAAACUGGGCAGCUAGAGUCCGGUAGAGNGUAGUGGAAUUCCCGGUGUAGCAGUGAAAUGCGUAGAGAGCGGGAGGAACAUCUGUGGCGAAGGCGACGGCCUGGACCAGCCCUGACACUGGGGCACGAAAGCGUGGGGAG